CGUCCAGACUCCUACGGGAGGCAGCAGUGAGGAAUAUUGGUCAAUGGGCGCGAGCCUGAACCAGCCAAGUCGCGUGAGGGAAGACGGUCCUAUGGAUUGUAAACCUCUUUUGUCGGGGAGCAAAAGACGCCACGCGUGGCGUUCCGAGAGUACCCGAAGAAAAAGCAUCGGCUAACUCCGUGCCAGCAGCCGCGGUAAUACGGAGGAUGCGAGCGUUAUCCGGAUUUAUUGGGUUUAAAGGGUGCGUAGGCGGAAUGCCAAGUCAGCGGUAAAAUCGCGGGGCUCAACCUCGCUCCGCCGUUGAAACUGGCAGUCUCGAGUUGGAGAGAAGUAUGCGGAAUGCGCGGUGUAGCGGUGAAAUGCAUAGAUAUCGCGCAGAACUCCGAUUGCGAAGGCAGCAUGCCGGCUCCACACUGACGCUGAGGCACGAAAGCGUGGGUAUCGAACAGGAUUAGAUACCCUAGUAU
rnacentral:rRNA from 1 species